rnacentral:rRNA from 1 species
GACGAACGCUGGCGGCGUGCUUAACACAUGCAAGUCGAACGGAACCUCCUUUUUUGGGGUACUCCAGUGGCGAACGGGUUAGUAACACGUGGUUGAUCUGCCCUCCACUCUGGGAUAAGUCUGGGAAACUGGGUCUAAUACCGGAUAGGACCGCACUUUCGUCUGUGUGGUGGCCCGUUUUUUCGGUGUAGGUUGAGGCCGCGGCCUAGCAGCUUGUUGGUGGGGUAAUGGUAUACCCAGGCGGCGGCGCGUAGCCGUACUGGGAGGGUGGGCAGCCACAGUGGGACUGGGAUUCGGACCCGGCUCCGACGGGUAGGGGAAGUAGGGAAGGUUGAACAAGCGGCACAGGCGUAAUGCAGCCGCACCGCGGGGGGGAGGACGGCGUUGGGGUUAGAAACUCAAUACGCUUGGGACGAAGCGGUUUGUGACGGUACCUGGAGAAGAAGCACCGGCUAACUACGUG